UAGAAGAUAGUGUAGUGGAAGCACCGGGGGUUUUGAUCUCCCUAGAUGAGGUUCGAGUCCUCAUUUUCUAA
rnacentral:tRNA from 1 species